rnacentral:rRNA from 1 species
AGUGUUUGAUCCUGGCUCAGGAUGAACGCUGGCGGCGUGCCUAACACAUGCAAGUCGAACGGGACUAUUCAGAAGAUCUUUUCGGAGUGAUUCUUUAUAGUUUAGUGGCGGACGGGUGAGUAACGCGUGGAGAACCUGCCCUGUACUGGGGGAUAACAGUGAGAAAUCACUGCUAAUACCGCAUAAGCGCACGGAGCCGCAUGGCUCUGUGUGAAAAACUCCGGUGGUACAGGAUGGCUCCGCGUUGGAUUAGCCAGUUGGCGGGGUAACGGCCCACCAAAGCGACGAUCCAUAGCCGGCCUGAGAGGGUGAACGGCCACAUUGGGACUGAGACACGGCCCAGACUCC